UGGUUCGUAGCUCAGUUGGUUAGAGCGCUACCUUGACAUGGUAGAGGUCGCCGGUUCGAAUCCAGUCGAACCAACCA
rnacentral:tRNA from 1 species